rnacentral:rRNA from 1 species
GAGUAACACGUGGAUAACCUACCUAUAAGACUGGGAUAACUUCGGGAAACCGGAGCUAAUACCGGAUAAUAUUUUGAACCGCAUGGUUCAAAAGUAAAAGACGGUCUUGCUGUCACUUAUAGAUGGAUCCGCGCUGCAUUAGCUAGUUGGUAAGGUAACGGCUUACCAAGGCAACGAUGCAUAGCCGACCUGAGAGGGUGAUCGGCCACACUGGAACUGAGACACGGUCCAGACUCCUACGGGAGGCAGCAGUAGGGAAUCUUCCGCAAUGGGCGAAAGCCUGACGGAGCAACGCCGCGUGAGUGAUGAAGGUCUUCGGAUCGUAAAACUCUGUUAUUAGGGAAGAACAUAUGUGUAAGUAACUGUGCACAUCUUGACGGUACCUAAUCAGAAAGCCACGGCUAACUACGUGCCAGCAGCCGCGGUAAUACGUAGGUGGCAAGCGUUAUCCGGAAUUAUUGGGCGUAAAGCGCGCGUAGGCGGUUUUUUAAGUCUGAUGUGAAAGCCCACGGCUCAACCGUGGAGGGUCAUUGGAAACUGGAAAACUUGAGUGCAGAAGAGGAAAGUGGAAUUCCAUGUGUAGCGGUGAAAUGCGCAGAGAUAUGGAGGAACACCAGUGGCGAAGGCGACUUUCUGGUCUGUAACUGACGCUGAUGUGCGAAAGCGUGGGGAUCAAACAGGAUUAGAUACCCUGGUAGUCCACGCCGUAAACGAUGAGUGCUAAGUGUUAGGGGGUUUCCGCCCCUUAGUGCUGCAGCUAACGCAUUAAGCACUCCGCCUGGGGAGUACGACCGCAAGGUUGAAACUCAAAGGAAUUGACGGGGACCCGCACAAGCGGUGGAGCAUGUGGUUUAAUUCGAAGCAACGCGAAGAACCUUACCAAAUCUUGACAUCCUUUGACAACUCUAGAGAUAGAGCCUUCCCCUUCGGGGGACAAAGUGACAGGUGGUGCAUGGUUGUCGUCAGCUCGUGUCGUGAGAUGUUGGGUUAAGUCCCGCAACGAGCGCAACCCUUAAGCUUAGUUGCCAUCAUUAAGUUGGGCACUCUAAGUUGACUGCCGGUGACAAACCGGAGGAAGGUGGGGAUGACGUCAAAUCAUCAUGCCCCUUAUGAUUUGGGCUACACACGUGCUACAAUGGACAAUACAAAGGGCAGCGAAACCGUGAGGUCAAGCAAAUCCCAUAAAGUUGUUCUCAGUUCGGAUUGUAGUCUGCAACUCGACUACAUGAAGCUGGAAUCGCUAGUAAUCGUAGAUCAGCAUGCUACGGUGAAUACGUUCCCGGGUCUUGUACACACCGCCCGUCACACCACGAGAGUUUGUAACACCCGAAGCCGGUGGAGUAACCUUUUAGGAGCUAGCCGUCGAAGGUGGGACAAAUGAUUGGGGUGAAGUCGUAACAAGGUAGCCGUAUCGGAAGGUGCGGCUGGAUCACCU